rnacentral:rRNA from 1 species
UACAGGGGGGGCAAGCGUUGUUCGGAAUUACUGGGCGUAAAGGGCUCGUAGGUGGCCAACUAAGUCAGACGUGAAAUCCCUCAGCUUAACUGGGGAACUGCGUCUGAUACUGGAUGGCUUGAGUUUGGGAGAGGGAUGCGGAAUUCCAGGUGUAGCGGUGAAAUGCGUAGAUAUCUGGAGGAACACCGGUGGCGAAGGCGGCAUCCUGGACCAACACUGACGCUGAGGCACGAAAGCGUGGGGAGCAAACAGG